CAUUAAGAAGCUAUCUUAGCGCUAACCUUUUAAGUUAGAGAUUGGGAAUAUAAGCUUCCCCUUAAUGA